UACGUAGGGUGCAAGCGUUAAUCGGAAUUACUGGGCGUAAAGCGUGCGCAGGCGGUGAUGUAAGACAGGUGUGAAAUCCCCGGGCUUAACCUGGGAACUGCAUUUGUGACUGGCGGGCUAGAGUAUGGCAGAGGGGGGUAGAAUUCCACGUGUAGCAGUGAAAUGCGUAGAGAUGUGGAGGAAUACCGAUGGCGAAGGCAGCCCCCUGGGCCAAUACUGACGCUCAUGCACGAAAGCGUGGGGAGCAAGCAGG
rnacentral:rRNA from 1 species